rnacentral:rRNA from 1 species
GAUGAACGCUGGCGGCGUGCCUAAUACAUGCAAGUCGAGCGAACAGACGAGGAGCUUGCUCCUCUGACGUUAGCGGCGGACGGGUGAGUAACACGUGGAUAACCUACCUAUAAGACUGGGAUAACUUCGGGAAACCGGAGCUAAUACCGGAUAAUAUAUUGAACCGCAUGGUUCAAUAGUGAAAGACGGUUUUGCUGUCACUUAUAGAUGGAUCCGCGCCGCAUUAGCUAGUUGGUAAGGUAACGGCUUACCAAGGCAACGAUGCGUAGACGACCUGAGAGGGUGAUCGGCCACCCUGGAACUGAGACACGGUCCAGACUCCUACGGGAGGCAGCAGUAGGGAAUCUUCCGCAAUGGGCGAAAGCCUGACGGAGCAACGCCGCGUGAGUGAUGAAGGUCUUCGGAUCGUAAAACUCUGUUAUUAGGGAAGAACAAAUGUGUAAGUAACUAUGCACGUCUUGACGGUACCUAAUCAGAAAGCCACGGCUAACUACGUG